rnacentral:lncRNA from 1 species
AAAUUAAUUCGUUUUCAUAUUUUUAUAGGGAAAUUCCAAUAAAUGAACAGGACAAGAAUCUACAAGUGUUAGCAUUAAAAGUUGUAAUGAAGUAUCAAUUGACAUGUUUAAAAUGGAAAAAAUCAUAAAAGUGAAUGACAAAGAAGAAAAAAGUAAAUAUCAAUGUGGCAAGUAUCUUUUGAGUACGUAUUUUUCUCUCUUUUGUCUAAUCUCACCCCCUAAAUUUAUCCACACGCAAAAGAAAAAUAAGGUACAACAAAUUUUGGUUCAGUAUAUUUAUGUUAACUCAACUUUAAUUUAAAAUUUGGAUAUAUACUCAUAAUAAGGGCACGGAUGUUGUUUCAUUUGCAACUUUUUUUCCAUAUUUUCAAUUUAUUGCUAAGUAAGUUUCAAAUAUGUUUCAUGUAGUUGACACUCGACAAUCGUGUAGAUAAGAUUAUAAUAAAACAGGGAUGGGCAUCCCAAAUGUACUAGAGAACCAGUUUUUGAUAAUUAAAAUCUAUGCGAGCCAGAGCAUAGGAAAAAAAAAUCAUUCAAAAUAUAUAUGUAUUUAAAUUAGUAUUUAUUUAGCAUAAUUUGAAUUAACAGUAAAAACAAAACAAGGUUAUUGAAAAUAAUUAAAUUAAAUUAAAUAUAAAUAACACUAUUACUAUUUGUUCAAUGUGAGAUUUGUCACAGCUAAUGAUAACGCAGCAAAAUCGAUUACUAUUUCAGAAGNAUCUAUAAGCGUCUAUUCGUAAUCGGGGUCAAAAAAGAAUGUUUAGGUUGGUUACUGUGACGUUAUGCUACUACUUAAAAAAUAUAUUUUUUUUUCGCCUCACAUCGUACAUUAUUGCACAUUUAUUGCUUAUCUAUCGUCUUCAAAUCAGUUUCACGCAUUUUAAGAACAAUUGGGCUCUCUUAUCAAAUAUUGCUAGUGGAACAUCCGUGUGUUUGAAUAAAAUUUUAUAUUAUUAUUAUAGUAUUUUUCAUGAAAUUAUGAGUUAUAGAAAUAUUAAAGAUGAUAUAAAAGAAAAUCUAACCAAGAUUAACUUAUCAAUUUAAAUUAACUUAUACAUAAUGCGAUAGUAAAAAUCGACUGUGUCCUCUUCAGAGAUUAUUAAUAUACCUACGUUGUGGUAUUACGAUUUAUUGACUUUUAGAACUGAAGAUGAGGAGUAGGAAUAUCAGGUAUUAAUGUAGUGAGUAAUAUUUUUAAGUGCACAUUUAUCAAAUAAAUAAUUUACCUUAUUUUUUAUUUAAAAUUAUUCUGUAUAUUUUAUAUAAUAGUGGGCUCCAAAGUUGUUAUCAGUUAAAUCAACUAUAGAAACACAUAAAAUAUAAGCAAAUAAAAAAAAACAAAUAAGAAAUAAUUCCUACAUUAUUUCAAGUAUCUACAACAUACCUGCUUGUAUAUGAAUCAAUUAUUAGUUUUACAUUAUGUAUAACACAUUUGCAAUGUCUACAAGUCUCUAUAGUGUAUAGGCACAUGUUUAGAUAUUAAAAAUUAAUUUGUUUUCAUAUUUUAAUAGGGAAAUACCAAUAAAUGUACAUUACAAGAAUCUACAAGUGUUGGCAUUGAUAGUUGUAAUAAAGUAUCAACUGACAUGUUUGAAAUGGAAAAAUUCAUAAAAGUGAAUGACGAAGAAGAAAAAAGUAAAUAUCAUUGUGGCAAUUAUCUUUUGAGUACGUAUUUUUCUCUCUUUUGUCCAAUCUCACCGCCUAAAUUUAUCCACACGCAAAAGAAAAAUAAGGUACAACAAAUUUUGGUUCAGGAUAUUUAUGUUAACUCAACUUGAAUUUAAAAUUUGAAUACAAUCUCAUAAUAAGAGUACGGAUGUUGUUUCAUUUGCAACUUUUUUUCCAUCUUUUCAAUUUAUUGCUAACUAAGUUUCAAAUACGUUUCAUGUAGUCGACACUCGACAAUCGUGUAGAUAAGAUUAUACUAAAACAGGGAUGGGCAUCCCAAAUGUACUAAAGGGCCAGUUUUUGACAAUUAAAAUCUAUGCGAGCUAGAGCAUAGCAAAAAGAAAAAAAAAAUUAUUCAAAGUAUAUAUGUAUUUAAAUUAGUAUUUAUUUAGCAUAAUUUGAAUUAACAGUAAAUAUAAAGAAAGGUUAUUGAAAAUAAUUAAAUUAAAUAAAAUAAAAAUAACACUAUUACUACUUGUUCAAUGUGACAUUUGUGACUGCUAAUGAUAACGCAGCAAAAUCGAUUACUAUUUCAGAAGUGGAAACACAAAGUAGGUGACUUAAUGUUUCAUCAGUAAGACAAUUUUUUUGCUUUGAUUUUAUAUGUUUCAUAUUUGAAAAUGUACAUUCACAAAUGUAGGUAGUUCCAAAUAUGGAUAACAUUUUUAACGCAAACUCUCAUAAAAGAGGAUAUUUGUUAACAGGUAAUUUUUUUCAAAAGCUUACAUCAAUAUCUUUCGUGGAUAAUAAUGAGUCAGUUUGCAACUCGCAUAAUUCUGAUUGAAGUGCAGCAUCUUGCUUUUCAAUUUCAACUGCCAUUGGAUUAUUAAACAAAUUUAUUUGAGGACGCGUAAGUUCAACUUCUUCAAAUCGUCUUUCGAAUUCUACAGUUAAUUCAUGCCAGUGGGUAAUGCAAUUUUCAAAAUUGAACUCGUUAAAAUGUUGAGAAAUAUUAGUUAAAAAUGCCAAUUAACAUAGAAAUUGUUUAUCAAUCAUUUAGUUUUCUAAAUAAGUGGUUUCAGUUGUACUAUUCGUUUAGGAAACUCAAGUAUUUCUUUUCUCAAAACAAAAUAUCGUUCGAGACACUUUCCACUACUAAGUUUCUGUAAAUAUGUAAUAAAAUUACGAAUUGCACUAUCAGUGUCAGUUAUACCCGUGGUCUUCAAUCAGUGGGUCGCGACCCAUUUUUGGGUUUUCUUUUUAAAAUAAAAUUAAGUUUGAAAAUUAUUGUAAUAUAUUAUGUUAUAAACAAUAUUAUAUAAUUUAUAUUCAAAAAUAUAAUAAUAUAAUGGAUUUCAAAUCACAGUAUUUGUUUUGUAAACUGGUAUGUUUUUAUUUAGUAUGACAUUAAAAAUAAGAGUUAACCAGGCUAAUAAUAAAACAAAUAUAUUAUAUUAUUAUCGUUAGGAUGUUGUCGCUGUGUUUAAAGAUGAAUAAAUGUUAGUCGUGUUAUUGUUCUAAUCAUAUUUAUGUAUCCGUUAAAAAGUUUUUUUUAUUUUUAUUUAUUUAUUUAUAACAAUACUACUACAAAGUAUUAAGUAAUUUUAGAUGUUUUGUUUUUUUGUUUUUCUACAAACAUUUUUCUUUAUGUAUGCCUUUUAUAGGUCGCGAAUAAUGUAUGCUUAAAAAAGUGGGUUGCCAAUAAUGUUCGCCUAAAAAAGUGGGAUGUGAGUCCAAAAAGGUUGAAGACCAUUGAGCUAAAAGACAUGUCACUGUGCAUCUUGAAAGUGAUAUUUUUUUAAAUUCACUAGCAAUUUUGUUUUAAUUUAUUGUUUCAGUCAUUUUUAUUGCACAGUUUUUAACAAAUUCGUCAUCACUCAACGAGUUUUUAGAUUUUGCUAUUUCAUUAGAAAUAAUAUAUGAAGCUACUAAACUGGAUUGUUGUGAAGUUGUUGUUGUUGUUGUCAUCACAUUUUGUUAUAAUUGAAGUUUUCUUUUCCGAUCAAUUAUAACACUCUCUCUUGCAUAUCACCAAUGUAUUUUUCAUAUUUAGACAAAUAAUUUGUCAUGUAAUGUCUUUUUAAAUUAUAUUUUUUUAGUACUGCAAUAAUAUUUAAACAAACUAAACAUUGAGGGUUUUUUGUUAAUAAUAAAUAAAUAUUCAUUUUCUUAUAAUCUGUUGCAUAGGCCAAUUGCCCAUCCCUGUACUAUAAUAUUGCCAGCUAUAAAAUCUAGUAAUGGUAUCAUAUUCUUAUUUUGAUAAUUCCAAGUCGGUAGGUAUUCAAUACAAUACAAAAAUAAUUUGUGAAAUGUGACUGUUUGACUGUUAUAAUCUGUUUUUCAGUCACUCGAUGAAUUUUGAGUGAUUGUGUUCUGUUAUUAUGCUGAAAAUUAAGCUAACUAUUUCCAUUUUUGUAAAAAAAAUUGUUCCUUUUUAGGAAGGAAUCAAUUCCAAUAGUUUUUUGUCACUACAAUAUCCUUGCAGAUGAGUAUUAAAUAAUAAUAAAAAUUAAAAAUUUGUUUAGUAUAAGAAGAAAAACCUUAAGCCUGGUCCAAAAUAAAGUAACUCGGUGUUUUCAAGUAUUGCCAUUUGUUUUUGUUU